rnacentral:tmRNA from 1 species
GGGGUUGUCUAGACUCGACAGGGUGCACUUUGAAAAUAUGCAAGCCGAUUAUGAAGGUGAUAUCGUAAAUCUUCCCUUCGCGAUGAUACCUGCAAACUUCAUCACAAAGGCAAAGCAAGCCUUCGCGCAAGCGUUCCAGCCUGCUUUCGCUUCCGCUCUCGCCUAAUUUCGGCAGGAGCCAUCGGACUCCCGACUCCCGAUAGGGAAUGUUCCGGUGUCAUAUCAUCGGGAAAGCUCGGUUUUCUUGCCCUAUGGAAAGCCGAUCGCUUCUGCACAUAAGGCACGUUGAGCCGUUUUCGCGCACUUCCUGACGGUUCGACGCAUACCAAGUGCGCUAUGCUUGUAGACUAUUUUUGAAACUCAUCACUGGACAUGGGUGCAAUUCCCAUCAACUCCACAU